rnacentral:rRNA from 1 species
UACAGAGGGUGCGAGCGUUGUUCGGAAUUACUGGGCGUAAAGCGCGCGCAGGCGGCCUUUUAAGUCUGACGGUGAAAUGCCGGGGCUCAACCCCGUGCCCGCCGCGGAUACUGGGAGGCUGGAGACAUGUAGAGGCAAGCGGAAUUCCGGGUGUAGCGGUGGGAUGCGUAGAGAUCCGGAAGAACACCAGCGGCGAAGGCGGCGUCCUGGACUGGUACUGACGCUGAGGCGCGAAAGCGUGGGGAGCAAACAGG